rnacentral:rRNA from 1 species
CACGUAGGGUGCGAGCGUUGUCCGGAAUUAUUGGGCGUAAAGAGCUCGUAGGCGGACUGUCACGUCUGCUGUGAAAAGCUGGGGCUUAACCCUGGCCUUGCAGUGGAUACGGGCAGACUAGAGGUAGGUAGGGGAGAAUGGAAUUCCCGGUGUAGCGGUGAAAUGCGCAGAUAUCGGGAGGAACACCGGUGGCGAAGGCGGUUCUCUGGGCCUUACCUGACGCUGAGGAGCGAAAGCGUGGGGAGCGAACAGG